AGAUGCCCGGUCCCCAGCCCUCUUGGACCCACCCUGCUCUCCCUACAGGUACAGGAGUUUUGACCUAAGAGAUGACUCAGGCUCCAAGUCUUCCAAGCAAAGCAUUACUUCAAUUUUUGAGAGAAAUGCCUCCUGAGCUCCCACAAUCCUCAGGGAGGCACAAGGAGACUCUGAGGUCCCAGACUCUGAGCUCCCUGGGGAUAGAACUCAAUGUGACUGCCCGGUGUCUGCUGCUUAGUCAAGGUUCCAUCUCAGCAAUAUUUGUUCCAUGAACAAAUGAAAAAGCAAACAGAGAGCUAGAGAACAUUCACUUCAGAAAGUUGGAAAGGGCCUUUGAAAUGCUUUGUUCUCAUCCCUUCACAUCAGAGUUGGUGGGAUGGAUGGAGAUCCAAAGAAGGGUUACUGCCCAACUGAUUAUCUUCUGGACUAGAAAAUAAGCUUCAUGAGAAGGAAAACAUCUCUGUUCUUGCCACUGACUCUGCAGAGGUACAGUUCCUGAGGAAGGAUUGUGCCAGGCCAGUUGCUCUGAGGAAUCAUGAGAGCUUCUGCUGAUGGGGGACCAGGAAAGCAAGACAUCUGGGGAAAAGGAAGAAGCUUUCAGUCUCACAGGAAACCCUGAGUCCAGAGCAGGAACAAGCUUGUUUCAAGACCCAAGAAAGUGAAAACUGGUUCCAAGAGGGCUUCCAGAGACGUCUCACCUGUUCUUCAUUCAGUAAAUAUUUAUCGAGCACCUCCAGUGUGCCAGCCAUGUUCUGGGCCCUGUGGACCCACAGUGAACAAUGGAAAAAAAUUCCAAUCUAUGGGACUUGCUUUCUACUACAAUGAGUGAAAGAAAUAGGAUAGCAAAGAAUAAACAUAAUUAAGUGGUAAA